CUUUUCUUUUAUUUAGUCUAAUCAUGCAAAAUCAGAGUGUACACGUACUAUCAGAUGGUGAGCUAUAGCGGUUUGCAUGACGUCGCUUGACUGACCGACGAAGUGGGGGUGGCCCAAAAAAUUUGUAGACCAAUUGCGGAGGGCUGGUUGCAGAAUUGGAAUAGAAAAGUUUGGAAUAGCUUUAGGUUAUAGCGCCCUAGAUAGCACAGCGGUACAAAACACCGAGACUAUGGCAAUCUAGCACACACCACGCAUUUGUCAACGUACUAAACCCACAGAGCAACACCUGUGAGCGUACACAACAAUAUCAAAGCCGCUACUGUGGCCCGAGAAGAUGGCCGCUACAGCGAAAAAAAAAAAAGAAGAGAGAAGAUACACGUGACUUUCCUACACUUUUGUUCUAGCGCGCGGAGAGGAUAAGGGCUCUACUCACUUUUUUCCUUCCUCCAUGCCUGCCAUCGAUAGUGGGCUUGUGCUAUUUUUAGAUGUAAUAAUCAUUAUUUUCAUAAAGAGGCAGGUGUUCACGCCUUACCGUUAUGUUUCCAUUGUGAACCAUGACCAAUCAACCCCUCGUGGGUAUGUGCCAAAAGCGGAAGGAAGACGAAGAUACCGUGUUGUGGUCGGCUGGCGGCCAGCAUGUUGAAUGCCUUGAAUCCGGUGCCUAGACCACUGUCUACUCCACUAAGCUAGCCAGGCAGCGUUCGAAGCCGACCCCAGACGACGAAGCCCUUGCUGUGGCCAACUGGAGCGUGCAGUGGCUCGUGGUCGGCGUACCUACCUGAGCUAAGCGCCAUGUCACUCCUGCUAGUUCUCGGCAUGAUCUUUGGAGCCUGGCUGUUCAUCCAUGCGCCACAGUGGCUACUUCUCUUCGUGGGAUUCGGACCGACCGGAGUGAAGCCGAGAAGCAUGGCAUCCAAGUGGCAGUCACUCCUGCGCGGCCGCAUCAGGAAAAACGGCUACUUCUCUCGACUGCAACACUGGGCAAUGACUGGCCUACCUAUCUGGCUGAAGAUAUCCCUUGGUUACAUUGGAGCCCGGUGGACCCUAUGGAUGGCAACAUAGGACUGCGCCAUACUCUUUACAAGUCACCUGAGCAUACAGCUGGAGCGUCGAAAAAUGCUAAAUGUCGCAGCAGUGGAUGGCAUAGGGACCGCGAAGUUUUUAAAGGCAAUACAAAUUUAACGUCUGUAGAAAUACGCGAUAACCGAAGUAAGAAACGGUGUUUGUUAGCAAUUUAGUUUGAGAUGACAGAUAAAUACAAGACGAGUCGUAGCCAGAGGGCUGGUAGUCUAAACAAUGAGCGGAUGAUUUGGCAAAGCAUGAGUAAUGUCCAAGUACAGUCGGCAUCUACGCAUAAAAUUUAUUGCCCUUGUGA